UUCCGGUUGAUCCCGCCGGACCCGACUGCUAUUUGGGUGAGAAUAAGCCAUGCGAGUUGAAUGGAAUACCUAAAUUUUCCAUAGCAAACUGCUCAGUAACACAUGAUCAACUUACCCUAUAGAGAAAAAUAAUCUCGGGAAACUGAGGAUAAUGUUUCAUAGUUGAAAAGGCUUGGAAAAGUUCUUCAAUCAAAAGGAUAAGAAAAAUGGUUUUUAUCCGCUAUAGGAUAGGAUCGUGGUCGAUUAUGGUUGUUGGUGAGGUAAUGGCUCACCAAGCCGAUAAUCGAUAGGGGCCGUGAGAGCGGGAGCCCCGAGAUGGGUACUGAGACAACGACCCAGGCCCUAUGAGGCGCAGCAGGCGCGAAACCUCCGCAAUACACGAAAGUGUGAUGGGGUUACCCAAAGUGUUCAAUUUUGAACUGUGGUAGGUGAGUAAUGUUCCCUACUAGAAAGGAGAGGGCAAGGCUGGUGCCAGCCGCCACGGUAAAACCAGCUCUUCAAGUGGUCGGGAUAAUUAUUGGGCUUAAAGUGUCCGUAGCCGGUUUAGUAAGUUCCUGGUAAAAUCGGGUAGCUUAACUAUCUGUAUGCUAGGAAUACUGCUAAACUAGAGGGCGGGAGAGGUCUGAGGUACUACAGGGGUAGGGGUGAAAUCUUAUAAUCCUUGUAGGACCACCAGUGGCGAAGGCGUCAGACUGGAACGUGCCUGACGGUGAGGGACGAAAGCCAGGGGAGCGAACCCGAUUAGAUACCCGGGUAGUCCUGGCCGUAAACGAUGCAUACUAGGUGAUGGCAUGGCCAUGAGCCGUGUCAGUGCCGUAGGGAAACCGUUAAGUAUGCCGCCUGGGAAGUACGGUCGCAAGGCUAAAACUUAAAGGAAUUGGCGGGGGAGCACCACAAGGGGUGAAGCCUGCGGUUCAUUGGAUUCAACGCCGGGAAAUCACUAGUGCGGC
rnacentral:rRNA from 1 species